rnacentral:rRNA from 1 species
GGAGCUUUAGACACCAACCAACCACGAAAAGCGACCCUGAUUGGAGCCCCAAACAACGUGAUUCUGGCAUAAGUGUCUUCGGUUGGGGCGACCACGGGAGAUAGCACAGCUCCCGAGUGGAUGGGGGACACCCUAAAACCCAGAGCCACAGCUCUAAGUCACAAAACAUUUGACCAAUAAUGAUCCGGCUUAAUGCCGACCAACGGACCAAGUUACCCUAGGGAUAACAGCGCAAUCCUCUCCCAGAGUCCAUAUCGACGAGGGGGUUU